UGAGUGCGAGCUUCUACGGAAGCGAAGUUGGUGACGUCAAGCUUCCAAGAAAAGCCCUAUACCCGUUAAGGCAUGAUUACCUGUACCCGAAACCGACACAGGUGGGGUGGUAGAGAAUACCGAGGGGCGCGAGGUAACUCUCUCUAAGGAACUCGGCAAAAUGACCCCGUAACUUCGGGAGAAGGGGUGCCAGCGCGAGCUGGUCGCAGUGAAUAGGCCCAGGCGACUGUUUACCAAAAACACAGGUCUCCGCUAAGUCGCAAGACGAUGUAUGGGGGCUGACGCCUGCCCAGUGCCGGAAGGUUAAAGAAGUUGGUCAGCGCAAGCGAAGCUAACGACUGAAGCCCCGGUGAACGGCGGCCGUAACAAUAACGGUCCUAAGGUAGCGAAAUUCCUUGUCGGGUAAGUUCCGACCCGCACGAAAGGCGUAACGAUCUGGGCGCUGUCUCGGAGAGAGGCUCGGCGAAAUAGAAUUGUCUGUGAAGAUGCGGACUACGUGCACCCGGACAGAAAGACCCUAUGAAGCUUUACUGUAGCUUGGUAUUGUGCUCGGGCUCGCAAUGCGCAGGAUAGGUGGGAGGCUUUGAUCCAUUGCUUGUGGGUGAUGGUGAGCCACUGGUGAGAUACCACUCUUUGCGAGCUAGGGUUCUAACGGUUACCCGUCAUCCGGGAACCGGACAGUAUCUGGUGGGCAGUUUGACUGGGGCGGUCGCCUCCUAAAAGGUAACGGAGGCGCGCAAAGGUUUGCUCAGGCUGGUUGGAAAUCAGCCGACGAGUGUAAAAGCAGAAGCAAGCUUGACUGUGAGACCUACAAGUCGAACAGGGAGGAAACUCGGCUUUAGUGAUCCGACGGUUCUGAGUGGAAGGGCCGUCGCUCAACGGAUAAAAGUUACUCUAGGAUAACAGGCUGAUCUCCCCCAAGAGUUCUCAUCGACGGGGAGGUUUGGCACCUCGAUGUCGGCUCAUCGCAACCUGGGGCUGAAGUCGGUCCCAAGGGUUGGGCUGUUCGCCCAUUAAAGCGGUACGCGAGCUGGGUUCAGAACGUCGUGAGACAGUUCGGUCCAUAUCCGGUGCAUGCGCAGGAAUAUUGAGAGGAUUUCUCCCUAGUAUGAGAGGACCGGGAGGAACGCACCUCUGGUGUACCAGUUAUCGUGCCAACGGUAAACGCUGGGUAGCCAUGUGCGGAGUGGAUAACCGCUGAAAGCAUCUAAGUGGGAAGCCCACCUCAAGAUGAGUAUUCCCAUGGCUUAAGCCAGUAAGGUCACGGGAAGAACACCCGUUGAUAGGCUCUAUGUGGAAGCGCAGUAAUGCGUGAAGCAGAGGAGUACUAAUAGACCGAGGGCU
rnacentral:rRNA from 1 species